UACAGAGGUGGCAAGCGUUGUUCGGAAUUACUGGGCGUAAAGGGCGCGUAGGUGGUCUUGUAAGUCCUGUGUGAAAUCCCUCGGCUCAACUGAGGAACUGCACAGGAGACUGCUCGACUUGAGUUCGGGAGAGGGACGCGGAAUUCCGGGUGUAGCGGUGAAAUGCGCAGAUAUCCGGAGGAACACCGGUGGCGAAGGCGGCGUCCUGGACCGACACUGACACUGAGGCGCGAAAGCUAGGGGAGCAAACGGG
rnacentral:rRNA from 1 species